AAAAUAAAUAGUUUUUUAAUUGAAAACUUGAAUGAAAGAGUUGAUAAAAUAUAAAUUGUUUCAAAUUAAUUAUAUUUAAUUUAAAUUAAAAGUUAAAAUGCUUUUAUUUUUUUAUUAGACGAUAAGACCCUAAGAAUUUAAUUUUUUAUUUUUUAAUAUAAUUUUUAUUAAGAAUUUAUUAUAAAUUAAAUAAUUUUAUUGGGAGGAUAAUUAAAUUUUUAUAAACUUUUAUUUAUUGAUAAUAUUUAUAAAUAAAAUUUUAAUGAUUAUUUUUAAGAUUAUUAGAAUGAAUUACCUUAGGGAUAACAGCGUUAUAAUUUUGGAGAGUUCAUAUUGAUAAGAUUGUUUGC
rnacentral:rRNA from 1 species